AGCGAACGCUGGCGGCAGGCUUAACACAUGCAAGUCGAGCGGGCACUUCGGUGUCAGCGGCAGACGGGUGAGUAACACGUGGGAACGUACCCUUUGGUUCGGAAUAACGCUGGGAAACUAGCGCUAAUACCGGAUACGCCCUUUUGGGGAAAGGCUUGCUGCCGAAGGAUCGGCCCGCGUCUGAUUAGCUAGUUGGUGGGGUAAUGGCCUACCAAGGCGACGAUCAGUAGCUGGUCUGAGAGGAUGAUCGGCCACACUGGGACUGAGACACGGCCCAGACUCCUACGGGAGGCAGCAGUGGGGAAUAUUGGACAAUGGGCGCAAGCCUGAUCCAGCCAUGCCGCGUGAGUGAUGAAGGCCUUAGGGUUGUAAAGCUCUUUUGUCCGGGACGAUAAUGACGGUACCGGAAGAAUAAGCCCCGGCUAACUUCGUG
rnacentral:rRNA from 1 species